rnacentral:tRNA from 1 species
GGGGUUGUGGCUCAGUGGUAGAGCACGUGCCUAGCAUGCAUGAAGCACUGGGUUCGCUCCCCAGCACCACA